UACGAAGGGGGGCUAGCGUUGCUCGGAAUGACUGGGCGUAAAGGGCGAGUAGGCGGUUUGUUAAGUUAGAUGUGAAAGACCUGGGCUUAACCUGGGAGGUGCAUUUAAUACUGGCAGACUAGCGUAUUGUAGAGGUAACGGGAAUUUCCGGUGUAGCGGUGAAAUGCGUAGAUAUCGGAAAGAACACCAAUGGCGAAGGCAAGUUACUGGACAAAUACGGAGCUGAGGCGCGAAGGCGUGGGGAGCAAACAGG
rnacentral:rRNA from 1 species